GACGAACGCUGGCGGCGUGCCUAAUACAUGCAAGUGGGACGCAAGGAAACACACUGUGCUUGCACACCGUGUUUUCUUGAGUCGCGAACGGGUGAGUAACGCGUAGGUAACCUGCCUAUUAGCGGGGGAUAACUAUUGGAAACGAUAGCUAAUACCGCAUAAUAUUAAUUAUUGCAUGAUAAUUGAUUGAAAGAUGCAAGCGCAUCACUAGUAGAUGGACCUGCGUUGUAUUAGCUAGUUGGUAAGGUAAGAGCUUACCAAGGCGACGAUACAUAGCCGACCUGAGAGGGUGAUCGGCCACACUGGGACUGAGACACGGCCCAGACCUCUACGGGAGGCAGCAGUAGGGAAUCUUCGGCAAUGGACGAAAGUCUGACCGAGCAACGCCGCGUGAGUGAAGAAGGUUUUCGGAUCGUAAAGCUCUGUUGUAAGUCAAGAACGUGUGUGAGAGUGGAAACG
rnacentral:rRNA from 1 species